GGGACACGUGGUAUCCUGUCUGAAUAUGGGGGGACCAUCCUCCAAGGCUAAAUACUCCUGACUGACCGAUAGUGAACCAGUACCGUGAGGGAAAGGCGAAAAGAACCCCGGCGAGGGGAGUGAAAAAGAACCUGAAACCGUGUACGUACAAGCAGUGGGAGCACGCUUAGGCGUGUGACUGCGUACCUUUUGUAUAAUGGGUCAGCGACUUAUAUUCUGUAGCAAGGUUAACCGAAUAGGGGAGCCGAAGGGAAACCGAGUCUUAACUGGGCGUUAAGUUGCAGGGUAUAGACCCGAAACCCGGUGAUCUAGCCAUGGGCAGGUUGAAGGUUGGGUAACACUAACUGGAGGACCGAACCGACUAAUGUUGAAAAAUUAGCGGAUGACUUGUGGCUGGGGGUGAAAGGCCAAUCAAACCGGGAGAUAGCUGGUUCUCCCCGAAAGCUAUUUAGGUAGCGCCUCGUGAAUUCAUCUCCGGGGGUAGAGCACUGUUUCGGCAAGGGGGUCAUCCCGACUUACCAACCCGAUGCAAACUGCGAAUACCGGAGAAUGUUAUCACGGGAGACACACGGCGGGUGCUAACGUCCGUCGUGAAGAGGGAAACAACCCAGACCGCCAGCUAAGGUCCCAAAGUCAUGGUUAAGUGGGAAACGAUGUGGGAAGGCCCAGACAGCCAGGAUGUUGGCUUAGAAGCAGCCAUCAUUUAAAGAAAGCGUAAUAGCUCACUGGUCGAGUCGGCCUGCGCGGAAGAUGUAACGGGGCUAAACCAUGCACCGAAGCUGCGGCAGCGACACUAUGUGUUGUUGGGUAGGGGAGCGUUCUGUAAGCCUGUGAAGGUGUGCUGUGAGGCAUGCUGGAGGUAUCAGAAGUGCGAAUGCUGACAUAAGUAACGAUAAAGCGGGUGAAAAGCCCGCUCGCCGGAAGACCAAGGGUUCCUGUCCAACGUUAAUCGGGGCAGGGUGAGUCGACCCCUAAGGCGAGGCCGAAAGGCGUAGUCGAUGGGAAACAGGUUAAUAUUCCUGUACUUGGUGUUACUGCGAAGGGGGGACGGAGAAGGCUAUGUUGGCCGGGCGACGGUUGUCCCGGUUUAAGCGUGUAGGCUGGUUUUCCAGGCAAAUCCGGAAAAUCAAGGCUGAGGCGUGAUGACGAGGCACUACGGUGCUGAAGCAACAAAUGCCCUGCUUCCAGGAAAAGCCUCUAAGCAUCAGGUAACAUCAAAUCGUACCCCAAACCGACACAGGUGGUCAGGUAGAGAAUACCAAGGCGCUUGAGAGAACUCGGGUGAAGGAACUAGGCAAAAUGGUGCCGUAACUUCGGGAGAAGGCACGCUGAUAUGUAGGUGAAGUCCCUCGCGGAUGGAGCUGAAAUCAGUCGAAGAUACCAGCUGGCUGCAACUGUUUAUUAAAAACACAGCACUGUGCAAACACGAAAGUGGACGUAUACGGUGUGACGCCUGCCCGGUGCCGGAAGGUUAAUUGAUGGGGUUAGCCGCAAGGCGAAGCUCUUGAUCGAAGCCCCGGUAAACGGCGGCCGUAACUAUAACGGUCCUAAGGUAGCGAAAUUCCUUGUCGGGUAAGUUCCGACCUGCACGAAUGGCGUAAUGAUGGCCAGGCUGUCUCCACCCGAGACUCAGUGAAAUUGAACUCGCUGUGAAGAUGCAGUGUACCCGCGGCAAGACGGAAAGACCCCGUGAACCUUUACUAUAGCUUGACACUGAACAUUGAGCCUUGAUGUGUAGGAUAGGUGGGAGGCUUAGAAGUGUGGACGCCAGUCUGCAUGGAGCCGACCUUGAAAUACCACCCUUUAAUGUUUGAUGUUCUAACGUUGACCCGUAAUCCGGGUUGCGGACAGUGUCUGGUGGGUAGUUUGACUGGGGCGGUCUCCUCCUAAAGAGUAACGGAGGAGCACGAAGGUUGGCUAAUCCUGGUCGGACAUCAGGAGGUUAGUGCAAUGGCAUAAGCCAGCUUGACUGCGAGCGUGACGGCGCGAGCAGGUGCGAAAGCAGGUCAUAGUGAUCCGGUGGUUCUGAAUGGAAGGGCCAUCGCUCAACGGAUAAAAGGUACUCCGGGGAUAACAGGCUGAUACCGCCCAAGAGUUCAUAUCGACGGCGGUGUUUGGCACCUCGAUGUCGGCUCAUCACAUCCUGGGGCUGAAGUAGGUCCCAAGGGUAUGGCUGUUCGCCAUUUAAAGUGGUACGCGAGCUGGGUUUAGAACGUCGUGAGACAGUUCGGUCCCUAUCUGCCGUGGGCGCUGGAGAACUGAGGGGGGCUGCUCCUAGUACGAGAGGACCGGAGUGGACGCAUCACUGGUGUUCGGGUUGUCAUGCCAAUGGCACUGCCCGGUAGCUAAAUGCGGAAGAGAUAAGUGCUGAAAGCAUCUAAGCACGAAACUUGCCCCGAGAUGAGUUCUCCCUGACUCCUUGAGAGUCCUGA
rnacentral:rRNA from 1 species